UUUGCCCCUUGAGGCGUUGCAGUCCUACAUCUUUUGGUAGUGACUGUGUCAGGAGGUGGCAUAGAGUGAAAAGGGCCUGGCUGUUGAUGCACUUGGUAUC